GGCGGCUCGGGGCGGACAGGCUCCCUGUCGGGCCUCCACGGCCCGCCUCGCGCCCCUUCCCGCUGCUGGUCCCCAGAACCGGCCCCAGGGUGCCCUUCCCCGGUGGCCCCCGCGCGUGGCGGCGUCCCGCAGUUUGGGAAGUUUUUAUUGACAUAUCUUCAAAUUCACUGACUCAAUGUCAACUCUACUCUGAGCCCACCAAAGGAUGGUUCAUCACAGAAUAUAAAUAUGGUUCUCUGUGCUAUACUGUAGGACCUUGAUGUUUAUCCAGUCUAUGUAUGAUAGUUUGCAUCUACUAAUCCCAGACUCCCACUCCAUCCCUCUCCUUCUCUUCCUCCCCCUUAGCAACCACAAUUCUGUUCUCUAUGUCUGUGAGUCUGUUUCUGUUUUAUAGGUAAGUUCAUUUGUGUCUUUUUUAAAAUCCUGCAUACGAGUGAUAUCUUAACGGUACCUGACUUUCUGUGUGUGGCUGACUUAGUAUAAUCAUCUCUAGGUCCAUCUGUGUUGCUGCAGAUGGUGUCAUCGCAUUCUCUUUUAUGACUGAAUAGUAUUCCACUAUGUGUGUGCCACAUUUUCUUCAUCCAUUCACCUGUCAGUGGGCAUUUGUCCAAAUAAUACAGGUUGUUUCCAUGUCUUGGUUGGUGUAAGUAGUACUGCUAUUAACAUUUGUUGUUGUUGCUCAGUGGCUAAGUCAUGUCUGACUCUUUACGACCCCAUGGACUGUAGCACGCUAGGCUCCUCUGUUCUCCACUGUCUCCUGGAGUUUGCUCAGAUUCAUGUCCAUUGAGUCGGUGAUGCUAUCUCCACAACUGAAUAUUGUUUCCAUUUUGGCCCAGCCACUUCAUUCUUUCUGGAGCUGUUAGUAAUUGCCCCCCACUCUUCCCCAGAGCAUUACUGGACACUUUCUGGCCUGGGGGGCUCAUCUUCUGACGUCAUAGCAUUGUGUUUUUUCAUACUGCCUGUGGGGUUCUCCAGAUAAGAAUACUGUAGUGGAUUGCCAUUUCCUUCUCCAGCAGACCACGCUUUGUCAGAACUCUUCAAUGUGACCCAUCUGUCUUGGGUGGCCCUGCAAGGCAUGACUGAUAGCUUCACUGAGUUAUGCAAGCCCCUUCACCACAACAAGGCUGUGAUCCAUGAAGGGGGCUGUUAACAUAGGGGUGCAUUAUCUUUUCAGAUUAUAGUUUUGUCUUGGCAUUAUAUGUCCAGGAAUGGGAUUGCUGGAUCAGACAGCAACUCCUAUUUUUUAUUUUUUGAGGAAAACGCCUUGCUGUUUUCCAUAGUGGCUAUACCAAUUUACAUUUAGCUCAGCAGGUAAAGAGUCCACCAGCAAUACAGGAAACACAGGAGAUGUGGGUCAAUCCCUGGGUCAGGUAGAUCCCCUGGAGUAGGAAAUGGCAACAACCCACUGCAGCAUUCUUGCCUGAAAAAUCCUAUGGACAGAGGAGCCUGAGGGGCUGUACAGUACAGAGGUUUGCAGAGUUGGGACACAGCUGAGUGACUAAACAGUAUAAAAGGGUUCUCUUUUUCUCCACACCCUCUCCAGCAUUUUUGUGGACUAUUUUUUUAGUUCUUUUUUCAAAAAAUUACUAUUUUAUUCAUUUAUUUAUUUUUGAUGGUGCUGGGUCUUUGUUGCUGUGCUCAGGCUUUCUCGAGUUCCGGCCAGCCGGGGCUACUCUAGUUUCAGGGCACAGGCUUCUCCCUGCGGUGGUUUCUCUCGUUGCUGAGCGUGGGCUUAAGGUGCAGGCUUUAGUAGUCGCAGCACAUGGGCUCAGUGCCCGGAGGCAUGUGUGAUCUUCCCAGACCAGGGAUCAAACCCAUGUCCGCUGCAUUAGCAGGUAGAUUCUUAACCACCGGACCACUGGAGAACUCCACUCGUUUUUUAGUUGGUUUUAUGUGUGUGUGUGUUGUUACUGAGUUAUAUGAGCUGUUUGUGUAUUUUGGACAUUGAACCCUUCUUGAUUGCAUCAUUUACAAAUAUUUUAUCCCAUGGAGGUAGGUAAAUAGGCCUUUUAAUGUGAGGUUUUCUGUCUGUUUGGCUGUUAGGCUCUCUUUAAUGUUUGUUGUAGUGUUGGCGGCUUCAAUUUCCUCUAGUGUCCUUGUCUUUGUCUCCCCUCUUUCCUUUGGAUUAUCUUUUCAUUUUGUUUAUGGUUUUCUUUGCUGUACAAAGACUUGUAAGUUUGACUAGGUUCCAUUUGUUUAUUUUUGCUUUUACUUCUAUUGCUUUGGGAAGCUGACCUAAGGAAACAUUGGUACAAUUUAUGUUAGAGAAUGUUUUGCCUAUGUUCUCUUAUAAGGGUUUUAUGGUGUCAUGUCUUAUGUGUAAGUCUUUAAGCCAUUUUGAGUUUAUUUUUGUGUAUGGCAUGGGGAUGUGUUCUAAUUCCAUUGAUUUGUGUGCAGCUGUCCAGCUUUCCCAAAACAGAUUGCUGAAAAGACAGGAAACACAGGAGAUGUGGGUCAAUCCCUGGGUCAGGUAGAUCCCCUGGAGUAGGAAAUGGCAACAACCCACUGCAGCAUUCUUGCCUGAAAAAUCCUAUGGACAGAGGAGCUUGGUCGGCUACAGUCCAUGAGGUUGCGAAGAGUCAGACAUGACUGAGCAACUAAGCAGCAGUCCCCUUCCUGGAAGUUUCAUAUGAAUGGAAUCAUGUACUUUGUGACCUUCUGUGACUAAGCUCUUUCACUUAGGAAAAUGUUUUCAAGGUUCAUCCAUACUGUCACAUGUAUCAAUACUUUAUUCAUUUUUAUGGCCAAAAAAACCUUUUGUCAAAUGUAUCCAUCUGUCAGUUAAUGGGCGUUUGGGUGGUUAAAGCUGCUGUAAACAUAUGUGUACAAGUUUUUGUGCGAACAUGUUUCAUUACACUCAAGUAUGUAACUCGGAAUGGGAUUGGUUUAACUUUUUAAAAAACAGCCAAACUGUUGUCCAAAGUGGCCAUACACUUUACUCUGCAUCUUCAUCAGCAGUUCGUAUUGUCCAGUUUUAAAAUUUUCACUUAUUCUCGUAGGGGUGUACUUGCAGUGGAUCUAGCGCUACACACUGUUGGAAAAGACCUUGAACCUCUUUCAUGUGCUUAUUUAUCGUCAGUAUGUCUUAUUUGGUGAUGUACCCGUUCAGAUCUUUUGCUUGUUUUUAAAUUGGGUUGCUUACUGAGUUUUAGAAGUUCUUUAUGUAUUCUUGAUAUGUUCAGGAUGUAAGCCUGGUAUCAGAUACGUGAUUUGGAAGUAUUUUCUCUCAUGCUGUGACUCUUCAUUCUUUCUAGUCUCUUUCAAAUAGUGGAAGUUCUUAAUUUUUUCCAAAGUACAACUUUAAAAAAAAACUGUUUAUUUUUGGCUGCAGUGGCUCUUUGUUGCGGCGAGCAAGGGCUAGUCUUCAUUUUAGUAGGUGGGCUUCUCCUUGCGGCAGCUUCUCGUUGGAGGACACAGGCUCCGGGGCACGCUGUCUUCAGCAGCUGCAGCUCUCGGGCUCUAGAACGUGCUCUCAGAAGUUCUGCUGCUACAUGACUUAGUUGCUCCAAGGCACCUGGGAUCUUCCCACACCGGGGAUCAAACCUGUGUCCCCUGCAUUGGCAGGCAGACUCCCAACCACUGGACCACUAGGGAAGUUCAACUUAUUUUUUUCUUCUAUGGAUCAUGCUUUUGGUAUCAUUUCUAAGAACUCUUCACCCAACCCAAUAUCACAGAAUUUUUCUCUGAUAUUUUCUGUUUCUACAGAAGUUAAGCCAGCUUUAGGUUUAUCAUGUUUGUCCAUGAUUAACUUUGAAUUAAAUUUUGCACAAAACGUAUGUUUGGAGUUGUGAGGAUUUUUUUUUAGCAUAUGGAUACAACUUUUGAAAAGAUUACCUUCUCCAUUGAAUUGCUUUAGCACUGUUGUAGAAAAUCAAUCAGUAAUUUGUGUUAUUAUAUAGAAUUUUAGUAUCAUUUUUUGUAGGCAAUCAAUUCUGUUCCAGUAAUUCGUCUUUAUGCCAGUACUACACUCUAUUGAUUACAUUUACAGUAAGCUUUAAAAUCUGGCAGUUUAAGUCUUCCAGCUGUUUCAUUUUUCAUAGUUGUUUUUUAUUAUUGUGGUUCUUUUGCCUUUCUAAAUUUUAUUUUGGCUGUGCUGGGUCUUUGUUACUGCACGCAAGCUUUUCUGUAGUUGUGGGGGGCACUCUCUAGUUGUGGGGGCCACUCUCUAGAUGCGGUGCUUGGGCUUCUCAUUGCAGUGGCUUCUCUUGUUGUGGAGCACGGGCUCUAGGCACACAGGCUUCAGUAGUUGUGGUACAUGGCCUUAGUUGCUCCACGUCAUGUGGGAUCUUUCCAGACCAGGGAUGGAACCCCUGUGUCUCCUGCAUUAGCAGGUGACUUCCUUACCACUGAGCCUCCAGGGACACCCUCCUUUGCCUUUCUAUAUAAAUUUUAGAAUCAGUUUUAUUUCUACAAAAUGUUCUCCUGGAAUUUUGAUUGGAAUUGCUUUGUGCCUAUAGACCUAUAUGGAGAAAACUGCAGUCUUAACAGUUUUGAAUCCAUGAAUGUAAUGUGUAUCUCUCUUUUUUAAGAUCUUUUUUAUUUCUUUCAUGAGCAUUUUGUAGU